rnacentral:lncRNA from 1 species
AAAAUUAUCAUUUCCAUGUCAAGGCCUCCCCCGCCCUCCGGCCGGUGCUGCUGAGCGUUUCUAAAACUUUCGCCUACUAAUGCACUCCCACCCUGUUCCAACACUCAACCACCGUCAAGCAAAAUGAUCCGCGAACGGCACUCUUACUCUCUCCUCCUUGCUCAUUAAAUAGAAGGCGGCUCCAACCCCGUGAACGAUCACACCCUCUUGCGUCCCCUCACCAGCUUUGUGUCAUGGAUAUUGCCCUUAGAGACCAUGUCUUCUCCUGUCUUCUCCACUUGAUCGAUCUCUUCACUCUCUUUCUAUCCAUCUCAAUAGAAGCCUACAUUUUUGUCCACAAAUGGAACCCCACGUACCACCUCUUCCCCAUGUCAUGCAUGCUUCUCCUCUCAGCCCUCCAACGCCUGGUAUUCACGCCCAGGCAAGUCUACCUCGUAGACUUCUCUUGUACCAAGCCUCCACNN